rnacentral:rRNA from 1 species
CGUCCGAGUUGUAAUCUAGAGAAGUGCGUGCCUGACCGUGUACAAGUCCUUUGGAACAAGGCGUCAUAGAGGGUGAGAAUCCCGUCUACGACACCCCAAUAGAAAAGGCUUUGUGAUACACUCUCAACGAGUCGAGUUGUUUGGGAAUGCAGCUCAAAAUGGGUGGUAAAUUCCAUCUAAAGCUAAAUAUGGGCGAAAGACCGAUAGCGAACAAGUACCGUGAGGGAAAGAUGAAAAGCACUUUGGAAAGAGAGUUAAACAGUACGUGAAAUUGUUGAAAGGGAAACGCUUGAAGUCAGUCGCGUCUUCAGAAAUUCAGCUGGGCUUCUGCCCUGUGUACUUUUCUGUGGGACGGGCCAGCAUCAGUUUCGGCUGCCAGAAAAAGGUGGGAGGAAGGUGGCACCUCCGGGUGUGUUAUAGCCUCCGAUCGUAUGUGGCAGCUGGGACUGAGGACCGCAGCACGCCUUCAUGGCCGGGGUUCGCCCACGUAACGUGCUUAGGAUGCUGGCGUAAUGGCUUUAAGCGACCCGUCUUGAAACACGGACCAAGGAGUCUAACAUGCCUGCGAGUAUUUGGGUGGCAAACCCAUAUGCGCAAUGAAAGUGAACGGUUGGGACUUCUGUCAUGGAAGGCACCGACGCCCGGACCAGACCUAUUGUGACGGAUCCGAGGUAGAGCAUGUAUGUUGGGACCCGAAAGAUGGUGAACUAUGCCUGAGUAGGGUGAAGCCAGAGGAAACUCUGGUGGAGGCUCGUAGCGAUUCUGACGU